rnacentral:tRNA from 1 species
AGCCCUGUAGUGUAGCGGCCAACACUUUUCAAGAAUCAAUCAUGAGAAGAGGCCAAUCAUAUCGGACUCUGGAUCCGAUGACCACGGUUCGAAACGACGGUAUCGUUCGUCGAGCCCUAAGCGUACAUCGACUACGUCGAGUACACUAGGUUUGGAACAUCGAUGCUUUCGACGAAAGUCCGUGCAGGGCUA